rnacentral:rRNA from 1 species
ACGGAAGGCAGCAGUGGGGAAUCUUCCGCAAUGGGCGAAAGCCUGACGGAGCAACGCCGCGUGAGUGAAGAAGGUCUUCGGAUCGUAAAGCUCUGUUGAGAGGGACGAGAGAUUACUUCAGGAAAUGGGAGUAAGAGGACGGUACCUUUCGAGGAAGCCACGGCUAACUACGUGCCAGCAGCCGCGGUAAUACGUAGGUGGCGAGCGUUGUCCGGAAUUAUUGGGCGUAAAGGGAGCGCAGGUGGGACUUCAAGUCAGUCUUAAAAGUGCGGGGCUCAACCCCGUGAUGGGAUUGAAACUGUAGUUCUUGAGUGCAGGAGAGGAAAGCGGAAUUCCUAGUGUAGCGGUGAAAUGCGUAGAUAUUAGGAGGAACACCAGUGGCGAAGGCGGCUUUCUGGACUGUAACUGACACUGAGGCUCGAAAGCGUGGGGAGCGAACAGGAUUAGAUACCCUGGUA